rnacentral:ncRNA from 1 species
CCUUCAGUGUCAUCUCUUCCUAUCACUGUGCAGCAGAAUUCACCAAGUGCUGGAUUGUUCAUCCACUAAUAGGGAAUGUGAGCUGGGAUUAGACCAUGAGACAGGUU